rnacentral:rRNA from 1 species
UUAAGUUAUUAAGGGCGCACGGUGGAUGCCUUGGCACUAGAAGCCGAUGAAGGACGUUACUAACGACGAUAUGCUUUGGGGAGCUGUAAGUAAGCUUUGAUCCAGAGAUUUCCGAAUGGGGAAACCCAGCAUGAGUUAUGUCAUGUUAUCGAUAUGUGAAUACAUAGCAUAUCAGAAGGCACACCCGGAGAACUGAAACAUCUUAGUACCCGGAGGAAGAGAAAGAAAAUUCGAUUCCCUUAGUAGCGGCGAGCGAAACGGGAAGAGCCCAAACCAACAAGCUUGCUUGUUGGGGUUGUAGGACACUCUAUACGGAGUUACAAAGGACGACAUUAGACGAAUCAUCUGGAAAGAUGAAUCAAAGAAGGUAAUAAUCCUGUAGUCGAAAAUGUUGUCUCUCUUGAGUGGAUCCUGAGUACGACGGAGCACGUGAAAUUCCGUCGGAAUCUGGGAGGACCAUCUCCUAAGGCUAAAUACUCUCUAGUGACCGAUAGUGAACCAGUACCGUGAGGGAAAGGUGAAAAGCACCCCGGAAGGGGAGUGAAAUAGAACCUGAAACCGUGUGCUUACAAGUAGUCAGAGCCCGUUAAUGGGUGAUGGCGUGCCUUUUGUAGAAUGAACCGGCGAGUUACGAUUUGAUGCAAGGUUAAGCAGUAAAUGUGGAGCCGUAGCGAAAGCGAGUCUGAAUAGGGCGUUUAGUAUUUGGUCGUAGACCCGAAACCAGGUGAUCUACCCUUGGUCAGGUUGAAGUUCAGGUAACACUGAAUGGAGGACCGAACCGACUUACGUUGAAAAGUGAGCGGAUGAACUGAGGGUAGCGGAGAAAUUCCAAUCGAACCUGGAGAUAGCUGGUUCUCUCCGAAAUAGCUUUAGGGCUAGCCUCAAGUGAUGAUUAUUGGAGGUAGAGCACUGUUUGGACGAGGGGCCCCUCUCGGGUUACCGAAUUCAGACAAACUCCGAAUGCCAAUUAAUUUAACUUGGGAGUCAGAACAUGGGUGAUAAGGUCCGUGUUCGAAAGGGAAACAGCCCAGACCACCAGCUAAGGUCCCAAAAUAUAUGUUAAGUGGAAAAGGAUGUGGCGUUGCCCAGACAACUAGGAUGUUGGCUUAGAAGCAGCCAUCAUUUAAAGAGUGCGUAAUAGCUCACUAGUCGAGUGACACUGCGCCGAAAAUGUACCGGGGCUAAACAUAUUACCGAAGCUGUGGAUUGUCCUUUGGACAAUGGUAGGAGAGCGUUCUAAGGGCGUUGAAGCAUGAUCGUAAGGACAUGUGGAGCGCUUAGAAGUGAGAAUGCCGGUGUGAGUAGCGAAAGACGGGUGAGAAUCCCGUCCACCGAUUGACUAAGGUUUCCAGAGGAAGGCUCGUCCGCUCUGGGUUAGUCGGGUCCUAAGCUGAGGCCGACAGGCGUAGGCGAUGGAUAACAGGUUGAUAUUCCUGUACCACCUAUAAUCGUUUUAAUCGAUGGGGGGACGCAGUAGGAUAGGCGAAGCGUGCGAUUGGAUUGCACGUCUAAGCAGUAAGGCUGAGUAUUAGGCAAAUCCGGUACUCGUUAAGGCUGAGCUGUGAUGGGGAGAAGACAUUGAGUCUUCGAGUCGUUGAUUUCACACUGCCGAGAAAAGCCUCUAGAUAGAAAAUAGGUGCCCGUACCGCAAACCGACACAGGUAGUCAAGAUGAGAAUUCUAAGGUGAGCGAGCGAACUCUCGUUAAGGAACUCGGCAAAAUGACCCCGUAACUUCGGGAGAAGGGGUGCUCUUUAGGGUUAACGCCCAGAAGAGCCGCAGUGAAUAGGCCCAAGCGACUGUUUAUCAAAAACACAGGUCUCUGCUAAACCGUAAGGUGAUGUAUAGGGGCUGACGCCUGCCCGGUGCUGGAAGGUUAAGAGGAGUGGUUAGCUUCUGCGAAGCUACGAAUCGAAGCCCCAGUAAACGGCGGCCGUAACUAUAACGGUCCUAAGGUAGCGAAAUUCCUUGUCGGGUAAGUUCCGACCCGCACGAAAGGCGUAACGAUUUGGGCACUGUCUCAACGAGAGACUCGGUGAAAUCAUAGUACCUGUGAAGAUGCAGGUUACCCGCGACAGGACGGAAAGACCCCGUGGAGCUUUACUGUAGCCUGAUAUUGAAAUUCGGCACAGCUUGUACAGGAUAGGUAGGAGCCUUUGAAACGUGAGCGCUAGCUUACGUGGAGGCGCUGGUGGGAUACUACCCUAGCUGUGUUGGCUUUCUAACCCGCACCACUUAUCGUGGUGGGAGACAGUGUCAGGCGGGCAGUUUGACUGGGGCGGUCGCCUCCUAAAAGGUAACGGAGGCGCUCAAAGGGUCCCUCAGAAUGGUUGGAAAUCAUUCAUAGAGUGUAAAGGCAUAAGGGAGCUUGACUGCGAGACCUACAAGUCGAGCAGGGUCGAAAGACGGACUUAGUGAUCCGGUGGUUCCGCAUGGAAGGGCCAUCGCUCAACGGAUAAAAGCUACCCCGGGGAUAACAGGCUUAUCUCCCCCAAGAGUUCACAUCGACGGGGAGGUUUGGCACCUCGAUGUCGGCUCAUCGCAUCCUGGGGCUGUAGUCGGUCCCAAGGGUUGGGCUGUUCGCCCAUUAAAGCGGUACGCGAGCUGGGUUCAGAACGUCGUGAGACAGUUCGGUCCCUAUCCGUCGUGGGCGUAGGAAAUUUGAGAGGAGCUGUCCUUAGUACGAGAGGACCGGGAUGGACAUACCUCUGGUGUACCAGUUGUCGUGCCAACGGCAUAGCUGGGUAGCUAUGUGUGGACGGGAUAAGUGCUGAAAGCAUCUAAGCAUGAAGCCCCCCUCAAGAUGAGAUUUCCCAACUUCGGUUAUAAGAUCCCUCAAAGAUGAUGAGGUUAAUAGGUUCGAGGUGGAAGCAUGGUGACAUGUGGAGCUGACGAAUACUAAUCGAUCGAAGACUUAAUCAA